UAAAGUAAUAAUGACUCACUGAUCUUCUCCACAGCUGCCGGUUGAGCAGUUCAUCUUCUCAGACAUAGUGAGUCAAUACAUAUGACAAUGCAGAUGUUUGAGUGAUGAGGCAAAAUCUGCCAAAACUGAUGAAAAAUAAAGAUCAUGUUACUCAAAUCACUAUGAAAGUAUCUCAAUAUUUUGACUUUGUAAGCAUGACCAGGGUAAUUGCAACAUAUGUGAGUGGUGAGAAGAAUAAGCCAGACGUUCCUUCUUUCAUUAAAUGUAACUUCAUUACAUUUCUUUAUUGAAUAGAGAUCAAAGGUUAAUUGGUUUUAUCUUCCCAAAUCUGGAGAGGUCGCUUGUUUUCUGUUCUUGUGACGUCCCGGGCGGGCGGAGCACGAAUCCUCUUCACAAUAUUCAGCGGUGAUGCUUCAGCCCCGGCGAGGGGGGGUCGGGGUUAGGAGGGGGCAAGACCUGCCCAGAGGAUGUAUGCCACAACCUGCUGGGCACUGAGGAGUAAAGUGGUCCAUUAGUCCCCCAAUGGGGGAAAGGCCCAGCACAUCUGGGUCCCUCCCCCCGCACCUGGUCCUUUCUGGACAUGUCCUCCCUGCACCAAGUCCUCUCUGGACAUGGUCGUCCCUGCACCAAGUCCUCUCUGGACAUGGUCCUCCCUGCACCUGGUCCUCUCUGGACAUGGUCCUCCCUGCACCUGGUCCUCUCUGGACAUGGUCCUCCCUGCACCUGGUCCUCUCUGGACAUGGUCCUCCCUGCACCUGGUCCUCUCUGCACCUGGUCCUCUCUGGACAUGGUCCUCUCUGUGGCUGGUUGUCUCCGAUAAUUCCACUGGCUUGUUUUCCAUUAAGGCCCCCCCCCGCUGUGAUGAUAAUGAUGCAAGGAGGAUU